GAAACACUAACAGACAACGAAACACAAACAGACAACGAAAAUGACAGCAACAACUUGGGCAUGAAUCCCGAAGAAACCACACAAGCCAGACCAUCACCUAAACGGACGUCAAGAAUUGGAGUCGCAAACAAAACAGCGACAAGGAGAUGAGAAAAUCACAACGGCCAUGGAGACGGCGCGGGCAUUGUCCUCUUAGGAGGACGAUGUGUCGAAGUGGCCAAAAUCUUCAUACACCGUAUGAACCCGCAAGAGACUGAACCUCGCGCUGGCGACCCCCCCUCCUCGUGGGCCCCGCUGGUAAAGUCGCGCGUCCACCUCGCUGUUCCGACGGCGAGACGCACGCGCGACGGCUAAGUGGGUCGCUUCCCUUUAUCCGGGACGGUCUUCCCUUCGGAUGAUCCUGAAAAGGUGACGGAGGGGUUUUUCUAAUCCUGAUGCGCGCAGGCACCAGUUGCACGCUAAACCCCUUGGCCGUGGGUUAACGCCCCAACACCGUCGUAGUAGGCUCAGCCUGGAGCGACAGAGCGAGAACUGGCUCCCCCUAAGCUCAAAAUUCACAUUAGAUGUCCCUAUCUACUUUCUAGCGAAACCACUGCCAAGGGAACGGGCUUGGAAAAAUUAGCGGGGAAAGAAGACCCUGUUGAGCUUCACUCCAGUCUGGCAUUGUAAGGAGACAUGAGAGGUGUAGCAUAAGUGGGAGAUGAUAAUCGCCGGUGAAAUACCA
rnacentral:ncRNA from 1 species